rnacentral:tRNA from 1 species
GCCUGGGUGGCUCAGUCGGUCGAGUGUCGAACUUCGGCUCAGGCCAUGAUCUCGCGGUUCGUGGGUUCGAGCCCCACAUCGGGCU